rnacentral:lncRNA from 1 species
GAACCAACUCCCACAGCUGCCCUGCUCGCGUCUCCAACCCUCCAAACUCGCCGAAAAACUCAGCAAACCCGCGAGUUCACUCAUGGUCCCCUCUCCACUCUUCUCCUUCUUCCACGUAGCAAAAUCCCAACAAAUCUCAUCAUUAAGUAUUUUGUUGAGCACCUCAGAAGUAUUUAUUUGUUUUCUUUCACGUUUUUGGAAUCGUC